rnacentral:rRNA from 1 species
CGCAAGGGGAAUGCCUUGGCACUGAGAGCCGAUGAAGGACGCGACAAGCUGCGAUAAGCUACGGGGAGCCGCAAAUGGGCUUUGAUCCGUAGAUUUCCGAAUGGGGAAACCCGGCAGAGCAAUACUCUGUCAACGUACACUGAAUACAUAGGUGUACGUGGGGAACCGCCUGAACUGAAACAUCUAAGUAGGGCGAGGAAGAGAAAUCAACCGAGAUUCCGCUAGUAGUGGCGAGCGAACGCGGAAGAGGCCAAACCGAAGGUAGCAAUAUCUUCGGGGUUAGGACUGCAAUAUGUAACUUUAAUCUUUAACUGAAUGCUUUGGGAAGAGCAGCGACACAGGGUGAUAGCCCCGUAAGUGAAAGAGAUUGAGUGCUAGCAGUAUCCAGAGUACCAGCGGACACGUGAAACCCGCUGGGAAGAUGGGGGGACCAUCCUCCAAGCCUAAAUACUACUCAGUGACCGAUAGUGGAGCAGUACCGUGAGGGAAAGGUGAAAAGUACCCCGGGAGGGGAGUGAAAGAGAACCUGAAACCUUGUGCCUACAAGCACCGAGAGCACGUUAAAGUGUGAUCGGGUACUUUUUGUAGAACGGUCCGGCGAGUUAAUAUUUGCAGCGAGGUUAAGUAACUGGAGUUACGGAGCCGCAGCGAGAGCGAGUCUGAAUAGGGCGUAUGAAGUUGCAGGUAUUAGACCCGAAACCGGGUGACCUAUCCAUGAGCAGGCUGAAGCGGUGGUAAGACACCGUGGAGGGCCGCACCCACGUCUGUUGAAAAAGCCGGGGAUGACUUGUGGAUAGCGGAGAAAUUCCAAUCGAACUCGGAGAUAGCUGGUUCUCCCCGAAAUAGCUUUAGGGCUAGCGUUAUUUUAGAUUACCGGAGGUAAAGCACUGAAUGGUCUAGGGGCCGCGAGGUUACCAAAGCCUAUCAAACUCUGAAUGCCGGAUAAUUGAUGAAUAGCAGUCAGACUGUGUGAGAUAAGUCUCAUAGUCAAAAGGGAAACAGCCCAGAUCUACAGCUAAGGUCCCAAAUGAACACUAAGUGGAAAAUGAUGUGAAACUGCGAAGACAACCAGGAUGUUGGCUUAGAAGCAGCCACUCAUUCAAAGAGUGCGUAAUAGCUCACUGGUCGAGUGGUUUUGCGCAGAAAAUGUAACGGGGCUAAGUGUUCAACCGAAGCUUAGGCAUUGUAGUAAUGCAUUGGGUAGGGGAGCGUCGUAUGCGGGGCGAAGUCAGAGCGGAAGCACUGGUGGACUGCAUACGAGUGAGAAUGCCGGAAUAAGUAGCGAGAAUUAUGUGAGAAUCAUAAUGGCCGAAAAUCUAAGGUUUCCUGGGGAAGGUUCGUCCGCCCAGGGUUAGUCGGGAGCUAAGCUCAGGCCGAAAGGCGUAGGCGAUGCACAUACGGUAGAAAUUCCGUAACCACCGAACUUUAAGCUAGAGGGACGCUUUCUUUAAGGUUAUCCCGGGCGAUGGUUGCCCCGGGCGUAAGGGACCGAAAUUUAGUAGGGAAGUAACUGGCGAGAGAGACGAGAAAAGCUCUAGUGUAUACUAAGGUGCCCGUACCGCAAACCGACACAGGUAGAAGGGAUGAGUAUUCUAAGGCCAACGGGAGAAGGGUUGUUAAGGAACUCGGCAAAUUGACCCCGUAACUUCGGGAUAAGGGGCGCCUGCGAGAGCAGGCCGCAGUGAAAAGGCCCAAGCGACUGUUUAGCAAAAACACAGCUCUCUGCUAAAUCGAAAGAUGACGUAUAGGGGGUGACGCCUGCCCGGUGCUGGAAGGUUAAGGGGAGUGCUUAGCGCAAGCGAAGGUGCGAACUUAAGCCCCAGUAAACGGCGGCCGUAACUAUAACGGUCCUAAGGUAGCGAAAUUCCUUGUCAGGUAAGUUCUGACCCGC